rnacentral:rRNA from 1 species
CAGUCGCCACGGUAAUACGAAGGGGGCUAGCGUCGUUCGGAUUUACUGGGCGUAAAGCGCACGUAGGCGGAUCGAUCAGUCAGGGGUGAAAUCCCAGAGCUCAACUCUGGAACUGCCUUUGAUACUGUCGAUCUGGAGUAUGGAAGAGGUGAGUGGAAUUCCGAGUGUAGAGGUGAAAUUCGUAGAUAUUCGGAGGAACACCAGUGGCGAAGGCGGUUCACUGGUCCAUUACUGACGCUGAGGUGCGAAAGCGUGGGGAGCAAACAGGAUUAGAUACCCCUGUAGUCCCUGUCUCUUAUAC